GGGGCUGACUUGGAUUUCGACAGAUUUCUUGUCGCACAGAUAGCAUGCCAAGCGCUGCUUGUAAAACAGCAACAAAAAUAACUGUAAACAACGCAGAUUACGCUCCAGCUUACGCUAAAGCUGCGUGAGUUAAUCUCCUUUUGGAGCUGGACUGAUUAGAAUUUCUAGCGUUUUAAUCACUCCAUAACCUUAAGCUAGACGCUUUUAAAAGGUGGUUCGCCUUUUAAACUAAGAAACAAGAACUCUUGAAACUAUCUCAAGGUUUUAGAAAGUUGGACCAGAGCUAGUUUUAAGGCUAAAAAGCUAACCAAUUUUCUAAGCAUUGUAGAAGUUUGUGUUUAGGACAAGAUUUUUGGACUGGGGUUCGAUUCCCCACAGCUCCACCA
rnacentral:tmRNA from 1 species